rnacentral:ncRNA from 1 species
AUCAAACAUCAGGAGUGAUCUGCAGGAGCAGAUCCGCCAACCGAGCCGAGAGGCCACGGUAGUUUGAUCCAUGAAUGGUAGAUGUGCCCGCAAGGGAAAUCAAAGGCCGCCUGAU